rnacentral:lncRNA from 1 species
GAAGAUGAGAGCUGAUCCAAGAUUCCGCACUAACCUCCAUAGCCACAGUAUUCAGAAAUCAAGCAUCUGGGUUCAGAAAUGAUGACGUGCUUUAGUGAAGCAUGUGGUUAAAGGGCCAGAGCAUGGAAUUCUUCCCAGAGUCACAGAAGAUGGCACAGCCUGGGGACAAUCGGGAAUCACCUGGAGGAUGGCAGGUAGCACUGUUAUAUUUACUUAAAAAUUUGGCCAGGCAUGGUGGUUCACCCCUGUAAUCCAGCACUUUGGGAGGCCAAGAUGGGAGGAUAGCUUGAAGCCUGGAGUUUGAGACCAGCCUGGGCAACAAAAUGAGACCUUAUCUCUGAAAAGAUUUAAUCUUUUAAAAAAAUUUUUUAAAUUUGAG